UCCCUAUCUUCCAGGCGCUUCCUCUCCUCCUCUCUCCUCUCUCUACGCCACCGGUGCCUCCCCGGCCGGGCCACCUGGCAGCUGGCGUGCGGCCCCGGGGCCUCCGCGGCCGGGCCACCGGAGGGGGGCCUCCCCGGCUGGGCCACCGGAGGGGGGCCUCCCCGGCCGGGCCGCUGCAGGUCAAGUUUUGGUUCCAGAACAAGCACACCCAGAUGAAGGAUGGGUCCAGACGCAGCAGGAGCAGCAGGAGAACACACAACUGAGGGCUGAGAACGAGAAGCGGAUUAAAGAGCUUUAAUCCUAGGAAUAGGAUGUGACUUCCUCCUGGUGGUGAGGCUUUGUAGGUCAUCAAAAUUUCAAUAGAUCAAAACCAGGGAGCUCAUCUUCCCAUACAUCUUUCAAUAUGUGCUUUCUGUACAACUGGGUCCUUUGCUUGUUGCUAUGCUUUAUUCAGAUUGUGUUCUGUUGAUUUAGGAACUAUUUCAAAUUGUGUUCUGUUCAUUUACAAUAAAUUCAGAUUGUGUUCUUUGGUGCAGUA